UGGGGAAUUUUGGACAAUGGGCGAAAGCCUGAUCCAGCAAUGCCGCGUGUGUGAAGAAGGCCUUCGGGUUGUAAAGCACUUUUGUCCGGAAAGAAAUCCUUGGCUCUAAUACAGUCGGGGGAUGACGGUACCGGAAGAAUAAGCACCGGCUAACUACGUGCCAGCAGCCGCGGUAAUACGUAGGGUGCAAGCGUUAAUCGGAAUUACUGGGCGUAAAGCGUGCGCAGGCGGUUUGCUAAGACCGAUGUGAAAUCCCCGGGCUCAACCUGGGAACUGCAUUGGUGACUGGCAGGCUAGAGUAUGGCAGAGGGGGGUAGGAUUCCACGUGUAGCAGUGAAAUGCGUAGAGAUGUGGAGGAAUACCGAUGGCGAAGGCAGCCCCCUGGGCCAAUACUGACGCUCAUGCACGAAAGCGUGGGGAGCAAACAGGAUUAGAUACCCUGGUAGUCCACGCCCUAAACGAUGUCAACUAGUUGUUGGGGAUUCAUUUCCUUAGUAACGUAGCUAACGCGUGAAGUUGACCGCCUGGGGAGUACGGUCGCAAGAUUAAAACUUAAAGGAAUUGACGGGGUCAUAGCUGUUUCCU
rnacentral:rRNA from 1 species